GGCACAGUGCAGAUUUCACGUGAAAGAGCUUUCCAUCCUCAGUCCACAUCCACUGCUGGUUCUGGAUGGUCCUAUUGCACGAGCCCACGCCCACUUUCCCAUUUGUGAGAAGACACUGUUGUUUCUGGACAUGGAUAAUCUGAAACCCCUCUGGAAGAUGAAGAGUGUAUAAAGUACUGGGUAGCACAUUAUACGGCCCAUUAGAAAACAAAACAGCCCACCCACGAAUGGGCUACGUAAAAUUACUAUUUUACUUAUAUUUUGCUGUUGCUAUCAUUUCAAGUGAAUAUUCUUAGAUUUAACACAUGUGAUUUAAAAUCCCAAGGCUGACAAUGUAAAAUGUCAAAAUGUCACACAGCUUCCCCCACCCUUUUUUUUUUUUUUUUUUGCUUUCAUAUGGGUUAGGGAAGAAAACACGCCCCUCAUUGGAAAAUGAAAGGAAGCUUGUAAAAGAAACAAAACUAUUCAAAUAUUAUGGUGUAGUAUUUUAGCCAAAUUAGUCAAAUAUAUUGAAGGAGCUGCCCGAAGCAUUUGGAGGACCUCAGGAAAGAAAUUAUUUUCUUUUGGAAAGAAAUCUCAGCAGUGUGGGCACAGCUGGCUCCUUUUAUUCUUCUCCUCAUCGUCUUUGGCUAAACUGCCAUGGAGACCUGGCUUCCCUUCUACCUUAUUUCAGACACUUUUCGAAGGCCCGAGACUCCUCGGUCAGAUAUGAGAGAAAUGCCUCUGGAAACUAAGGCAGACCCACUCACCUGAGCUCCCGAAGAUCAAGCAGAAAAAAUUCCAGCCUCCAGGAGCAGAAUAAAUUCCCUUAAGUCUUCACCUACCUUCCCUUUGGCACAUGACUACUUCUUAACCUCAAGAGGGAAGAAAAGAAUUGUAAUCUUAGAUAAUUGAAUGUUCCUAAAACAUUACAUCUCUUCAGGUGAUGUGAUUCUGCUGAAUAAACAUAAACCAUGUAAUUCA